rnacentral:misc_RNA from 1 species
GAUGAAGAACGCAGCGAAAUGCGAUACGUAAUGUGAAUUGCAAAUUCAGUGAAUCAUCGAGUCUUUGAACGCACAUUGCGCCCCCUGGUAUUCCGGGGGGCAUGCCUGUCCGAGCGUCAUUGCUGCCCUCAAGCACGGCUUGUGUGUUGGGCCCCGUCCUCCGAUCCCGGGGGACGGGCCCGAAAGGCAGCGGCGGCACCGCGUCCGGUCCUCGAGCGUAUGGGGCUUUGUCACCCGCUCUGUAGGCCCGGCCGGCGCUUGCCGAUCAACCCAAAUUUUUUAUCCAGGUUGACCUCGGAUCAGGUAGGGAUACCCGCUGAACUUAAGCAUAACAAUAAGCGGAGGA